rnacentral:lncRNA from 1 species
AGGAAUGUGGCGAGACGCAAAUGAACAUGAAGUGCUUGGCCAAGGGUCCGGGGCAGGCUCGCUGCGCCCAGAAGCCAACUCUCAUCAGUAACAUCGUCAGAGGGGCCCACAUAUCCACCCAUGUCCUGCCCAGAACCAUGGGAAAGUGGACCUGCCAUGGGCAUGAAUGCUCAGUGGGGCCUCUGCCAGUCUCCAGACCCCGACCUGCCCAUCACCUCCCCAGACGCAGCCGCCAACGAGCUCAGAGGCAGCUCCAGGCGUCCGCCAUCCUCAGACUUCAGGGCCCCACCCUUUGGGCCCAGGCAGACGCAGGGCAGGGAGCUUCCACAGGAGGAGGGCGGCAGCUGGGUUCAGCAAGACCCCCUCCUGGUGGCCCACCGUCAGGACAGAUCCCAGCCAAACGCAUUUUUUUGUUUUUUCAAAAGACAAAUAAAUGGGUCAGAAGCCAACGAGGGGGUGCAGGAGCUGCCACUGGAGGGGAAGUUCCAGAGGAGAAACUUGGAAGCUCCGCUCAAGGAAAUUUAAUGAGCUAGAAAGAGAUGGGAAGCAGGACCAGCUCAGGGCGUCAAUCAAAUAUUCAUCACAGGAAAGGCAAGUCUUGCUAAGGUGUGGAUCAAUAGGGCCGGGAACUCCAAACAUCUGCCUCCCGAAAGCACUUCCAGAAAUCGAGGGCUAAACAACAGCAGAGCGGGAGCUGGAGGGAGGAUGGGAGGUAACCCAGGUGACC